rnacentral:lncRNA from 1 species
UCAAGUAGAGGUGGAGAGUGCCAAGUAUGUUACGAAGAUAUAUAAAAAACCCACAUAUGCGCCUGUUUUGAUACCUGCCUGGUCACAGGACCAUAUACAGCACAAACUCGCAAGCUUCAGAUUCUUAUUUACGAGAAUACAUACCCACAUUACGAAAUGGGAGGAUAAGAUGCAAGUGCUGACAUCCAUUUAUACCAUAGGACUAAAGUAUGACUUCACUCUGAAACAAAUGCAGGCUGUAUGGACUAAAGUAUCGAAGGCCUUACGGAAAACACCACUAGACAGUCCACACCCUCGGCAUAAUGCCGAUACAUGCCUGUACGCAGUGUACGGCCCCAGGACGACAGGAAACGGCACAGGCUUAUGGCCUACUUGCUGUGGCAGUGUGGAUGGUGCAGAUAAGGAUGGGUAAUGAGACUUAAAUGACACAGGUACAGAGACUACAUUUAUAUAACAAACAACUUCCUUUAUUAAAGAGAGAGAUUUUACAAGAAUACAUAAACUCUUGUUAUAUAUGGAGGAUAAAUACCUUUUGAUAUA